UGGGGAAUAUUGGGCAAUGGAGGAAACUGUGACCCAGCGACGCCGCGUGCGGGAUGAAGGCUUCGGGUUGUAAACCGUUUCAGCAGGGAAGAAGCGAAAGUGACGGUACCUGCAGAAGAAGCACCGGCUAACUAUGUGCCAGCAGCCGCGGUAAUACAUAGGGUGCAAGCGUUGUCCGGAAUUAUUGGGCGUAAAGAGCUCGUAGGUGGUUCGUCACGUCGGAUGUGAAACUCUGGGGCUUAACCCCAGACCUGCAUUCGAUACGGGCGAGCUUGAGUAUGGUAGGGGAGUCUGGAAUUCCUGGUGUAGCGGUGGAAUGCGCAGAUAUCAGGAGGAACACCAAUGGCGAAGGCAGGACUCUGGGCCAUUACUGACACUGAGGAGCGAAAGCGUGGGGGAGCGAACAGGAUUAGAUACCCUGGUAGUCCACGCCGUAAACGGUGGGCACUAGUUGUGGGGACCUUCCACGGUCUCUGCGACGCAGCUAACGCAUUAAGUGCCCCGCCUGGGGAGUACGAUCGCAAGAUUA
rnacentral:rRNA from 1 species